rnacentral:tRNA from 1 species
GAGGAUAUAGCUCAAGUGGUAGAGCAUAUGCUUAGCAUGCACGAGGCCCUGGGUUCAAUCCCCAGUACUUCCU